AGUAAUGAUAAAACAAGUCCUCGCUAAAUCAAAUCAUACACGCUCACAGUUUUUAAAAGCUCAUUGAACACAAGUCAGGCGCGCCUUCCCAGUUUCUUUCUUUCUUUCCCUCUGUCGAUCAAAUGCAGGUAAGAAGAAGAAAGGAUAAUGAGCAGCAGCUGUUCAUCGAAUGGAUUAUAGCCGUUGUCGCCAUCGACAAGGAAGCUGGAUGACUUAGAGUUGAUGCUGCAAUACCUUCCCAUUUUGUAUGUUUUUUUAGCCUUCCUUUUUCUGUGUUGUUUUUCGUCUCUCGUAGCAAACAGCACUCGUGCUAAAAAGUCUUAAAAUCACCAGUUCUAUUCUUCAUUUUUGUUCAAGUGUGAUGCUUGCUUUCUUUAACAUUUUCGUCUUUCGUAGCACCUCUCCUGCGAUUUAUAUGUGGGUGUGAUGCUUGCUUUCUUUAACAUUUUCGUCUUUCGUAGCACCUCUCCUGCGAUUUAUAUGUGGGUGUGAUGCUUGCUUUCUUUAACAUGUUCUGGAAACCUUUGAAGGCAGGAAUAAAUGUUGUGUCUGUGCAACUUGCAUGUUCUGUAUAGAGAUAGACUUCAUGCCAGCAAUCGCUCUAGUUCCUAGGGAAAGGUCUCCCCAUAUUAUAGCCAAAGAAAAAGCUAAGGAGCUUGAAUGUCUUGCAUGGCUGAAGUAGGCCUUUCUAUAUAUGGGCAUUCAAAGGAAUGGAGUUGCAGAAGAGAGCUCGGAUAAUGCUUCGGUUGUAGAGGUUAGGGAGUCAUUCCUCGUGCUUAUGGGCCAAGUAGUUGUCUCUUUGGUGACCAUUUCCACUAGCAAUGGCAGCCAUCAUCCAUCACCCAAUGGCAAAAUCCUGUGGGACUUUGCUGCAGGGAAUUGUAUCAUCGGCUAUAUUUCUUUGUUUACACGUGUCUUGAUCGGUGGACGUCAAAGAGGGUUUGCCACCCGAAUUGUGACUGCGAUUUGAUAUGCUGGCAUAUCUUUUGGGUUCAUAGCUUGCGUGGUCAUGUGGCUGCCAGAUAGCAUCAACCUGUGUGGAUAGCUUUAGGGGCUUGUGAAUUAUGCUUGCCUGCAAUAGCAUCAAACUGCUCCACAUGUUAAUUAGGAUUGUGUCUACAGGUUUGGUCUGUACAUGCACGUCGGGAGCCUCUGGCUGUGUGCUUUAGGAGUACUGAUAAUGGACGAGUCCUUUGAGAUCA